GCGGGAUUAACUCAGUUGGUAGAGUGUCACCUUCCCAAGGUGAAAGUCGCGAGUUCGAGCCUCGUAUCCCGCUCCA
rnacentral:tRNA from 1 species